CGUGUAGGCGGCAUGACAAGUCGGAUGUGAAAGCCCUGGGCUCAACCCAGGAAGUGCAUUCGAUACUGCCGUGCUAGAGUCCCGGAGAGGGUGGUGGAACUCUCGGUGUAGAGGUGAAAUUCGUAGAUAUCGAGAAGAACACCGGUGGCGAAGGCGGCCACCUGGACGGUGACUGACGCUGAGACGCGAAAGCGUGGGGAGCAAACA
rnacentral:rRNA from 1 species